rnacentral:snoRNA from 1 species
AAGCAUAUUUAGCCUGGAGCAGUUAAUGUCUGCUGCUAAGGUUUCCACUACAGAUGCAAGAAAAAGGUCUCUGCACUUUUUGUCUCCCUGGUUGUGGCAGCUAAGAUUGAAUGGGCAAAUACAGGA